ACGUUUGUAGCUCAAUCGGAUAGAGCAAUGGUCUUCUAAGCCAUCGGUUGGAGGUUCGAGUCCUCUCAGGCGUA
rnacentral:tRNA from 1 species